GGCAUUUGGUGCAUUCUACACGCAUUUUUGGGCUGCUAUGGUUUUGUUCAAAUGGAAAAGUUCACAUGCGAAAUUGUUCAUUUCAUAUGCGAAAUUCAGAAUUUUCAUACAUUGAAUUUGAGUUUCACAUAAUAAUUCUUUCACAUGUGAACGUCAAGUUUUAUGUGAAAAUAAUUCAGUUACAUUGGAACAGUUAGCAAGGGGAAAAGCAUUAUCC